GGAAUCCAGAGCCUUCCUCGCCCACUACCCACCUGGGGUCGGGAUCGGAGGACUCGGCACCCACCCUGUCGCAGCGCUCCGAGCCCACAGAAGGGACUGGGUGCACAGCACUACGCCCGGCCAGAUUGUUUUGGCUAUUUUCAUUGUUUGAUUAGCUGAAGAAUUCUGUCCCAUUUCUCCAUGAAUCCUGGUUCUCAGGGACAAGGAGGAUAAGAUUAGAAUAUCUCAUAAAUACUCAUUGGCUUCAAUGAAUAUUGUUCAGCCAACAGUCUCAGGAUAGUACCACCCAUAGCCUUCAUCACUGCUAUUGUUCAAAGCAAGUGCCUGCCUGAAUGAUGGCUCAGUAGUGGGGCUGGAGAGACAACUCAGUGGUUAAGAGUACUUACUGCUCUUCAGAGGAACUGGGUUUAGUUCCCAGCACCCAAGUGGCCACUAACACAUGUCCUUAACUCUUUUUCCAUGGGAUCCAACACCCUCUUCUG